rnacentral:rRNA from 1 species
CAAUAGCGUAUAUUAUUGAUGUUGCACUUUAUGUGCUUGGAUACUAUAACAUCUUUGAUGUGAUAGUGUUUUCAGCACAGAUCAUGCAAACCAACACCAUAUGUUUCAUAUGGUUGUUUGAUUUGCAUCUUACUUUGAGUGAAUCGGCGUGUUCCACGCAGGCAUGUGCCUUGAACGAUUUACCAUAGCAUAAAUAGAGUAUGGAAGUAUUUGUUUGCUUGUUCACGGAUAUUUCUGAUACUGACAAGAACGGUUGAGGGCAUUCGUAUUCAACUGCUAGAGGUGAAAUUCUUUGAUUAGUUGAGGACGAACUAUUGCGAAAGCAUCUGCCAUGGACGUUUCUUUUGA